rnacentral:rRNA from 1 species
AACGAACGCUGGCGGCACGUUUUAAGCAUGCAAGUCGAAUGGCAGCAGGGGCAACUCUGUGAGAAUGGCGAACGGGUGAGUAACACGUAGGUGAUCUGCCUUGAGGAUGGGGAUAGCCUGUGGAAACACAGGGUAAUAGCGGAUAAGCUGACGGGACUUUGGUUUUGUUAGUAAAGGUGCUACGGCACCGCCUUGAGAGGAGCCUGCGGCUGAUUAGCUAGUUGGUGGGGUAAAGACCUACCAAGGCGACGAUCAGUAGCCGGCCUGAGAGGGUGGACAGCCACACUGGGAGUGGGACACGGACCAGACUCCUACGGGAGGCGGCAGCUAAGAAUCUGCCGCAAUGGGCGAAAGCCUUACGGAGGGAUGCCGCGUGAUCGAUGAAGGUCGAGAGAUUGUAAAGAUCUUUUCUACAUGAGGAAUAAGUCUGGGAGGGAAUGCCUGGAUGAUGACGUUAGUGUAGGAAUAAGCCCCGGCUAAUUACGUGCCAGCCGCCGCCGUAA